rnacentral:rRNA from 1 species
UACAGAGGGUGCAAGCGUUAAUCGGAAUUACUGGGCGUAAAGCGUGCGUAGACGGUCAUGUAAGUCGGGUGUGAAAGCCCCGGGCUCAACCUGGGAAUUGCAUUCGAGACUGCAUGGCUAGGAUGCGGAAGAGGGAAGCGGAAUUUCCGGUGUAGCGGUGAAAUGCGUAGAUAUCGGAAGGAACACCAGUGGCGAAAGCGGCUUCCUGGUCCAGCAUCGACGUUCAGGCACGAAAAGCGUGGGGGAGCAAACAGGG